rnacentral:tRNA from 1 species
GGGCCGGUAGCUCAGCCCGGAAGAGCGCCGCCCUCGCACGGCGGAGGUCCCGGGUUCAAAUCCCGGCCGGUCCACCA